GCUUCUUACAAAUGCCACCCCCCCCCAAACAAUGCCAAAGGUCAAUCAAGAAGAUAAACAGCCCGCCGUUGAAGACAUAUCUAUGUAACAUUCACGUCCUGAGACUCUGUACUUCUGACAAAUGCAGAAGGAAGAUAUUUCUUGAGAGCGGAGCUCUGACUCUCCAGGUAACUCCUGCGCCUCGCUCACGCUCACGCUCACGCUCACGCCUUCGCCGAAUGCUCCUUCGCCGCAGCCCCAGCGCGGCUCGUCGCUUACCGGCCACCCUCCAGAGCAAGAGUCUGGAGCAAGGAUUGUCAGCGGUCUGCUCCGUCUCUGUCUUACGGCCAGAACCUCUCUUCCCCAGUCUGACCAAGAUGUCUAGGCAGAACGCACCUGAACCUCUCCCGCCGAGUGAGCCCAAUCCUUCGCCUCCGCAACCUGCAGAUCCAGAAUUUAAUCAAGGUACAAUUGAAUUGGCCAAACGAAUUGUAGAAAUUGGAGACAAGCUGUAUUUUGAAUACCUUGUUCGAAACUUGUUGUCCACGAUUUCCGACACAACCUGAAGUUAACUGACAGAUAUGACUUUAACAAUGAAGAUCCCCAGUAUGUUGGAUGUUGUAAAAGAUUUUGAGGGCAAAAUGUGGAAGAAACUAGCUUUUCAGUGAAUGCUGUUAAGGUUUGUUAUAAGCCAUUCUUUUCAACCAUGGAAAGUCAAGAGGAUACUUGGGAACCUGGAGUGUUGCAUUUCAGCAUUUUCAACACUGUUCGGUGGAAAACUAAUGCCCGUAUGAAAUGUUACAUGUCACUUAACAGAUGCAUAUAAAAUGUUUACCUUGAACAAUGUCAAGAUUUAAAACAGGAUUUCUAGUUACAUCUGCAUUAUGUGCAUUAUGACAGAUGAAUGUUUCGAUCUGCAUGCACUACUAUGUAAUUUCCAAUUACAUGUGUAUGGGAAGAACUUGAUUCUUACCAACAAGAAACAUUUCAAGCCUUAUCUGGUUUAUUUGGUUUACAUAGUGAAUUUUACAGGUUUGGUUUCUUUUAGAUGUAAUUAGUACAUGGAUUUGAAAAAUGGUGGGAUCUUUUUGUUUAAACUAUGAUUUGUAAUGUGCCUUCCACUUAUUUAUUUAAUUUAUGGUUAGAAAUUCUUGAUAGCUCAUUUUUGUAUUGAAGGUUAUGCUAUGUGAAGACAUGUAUGACAGUGUUUGGCAUGUUAUUGCAAUAAAGUUAAAUUAAAACCUGGAUUAAUAUAACCA
rnacentral:lncRNA from 1 species